CCCGCUGAACUUAAGCAUAUCAAUAAGCGGAGGAAAAGAAACUAACAAGGAUUCCCCUAGUAACGGCGAGUGAAGCGGGAUGAGCUCAAAUUUAAAAUCUGGUAGUCUUCUGGCUACCCGAGUUGUAAUCUAGAGAAGUGUUUUCUGUGCUGGACUGUGUACAAGUUUCCUGGAUACGGAACAUCAUAGAGGGUGAGAAUCCCGUCCUUGACACAGGCCCCCAGUGCUUUGUGAUGCACUCCCGACGAGUCGAGUUGUUUGGGAUUGCAGCUCAAAAUGGGAGGUAAAUUCCUUCUAAAGCUAAAUAUUGGCGAGAGACCGAUAGCGAACAAGUACCGUGAGGGAAAGAUGAAAAGAACUUUGAAAAGAGAGUUAAAAAGUACUUGAAAUUGCUAAGAGGGAAGCACUGGAAACCAGUCGAUGGCUUGCAUGUAUUUUAACUUCUGUUUCCAGCCGUUCGCUUCGACGUAGAGAGCCCAAAGCCUCUUGUCUUGGUGGACGAUGGUGCGGUUGUGCCAUGUACGGUAGGCCGUGUCAGAAUCAGUUUGAUCCGUGAGAGAAAGCUAUGACGACGAUAGGCUCGCGGGGUUUACUCCAAGAGCUGUUUAGUGUUGUAGUGCUAUCAUGGGUUAGACUGAGGUACAAGUCGAAAGGCGCACCACUGGGUUAGCGGGUCUCUAUUCCCUGGAUUCACAGGGGACUUGGACAACAAAGUUGUGCGGUCCCCGAAGGUUUCCACUGGUUUGGUAGAUUCAGCAGCAGCCUUCGAGAUUCUGACGAAAUGGUUUUCAUUGACCCGUCUUGAAACACGG
rnacentral:rRNA from 1 species